rnacentral:rRNA from 1 species
CCAAUAGCGUAUAUUAAAGUUGUUGCAGUUAAAAAGCUCGUAGUUGAACUUCGGGGUUUACCCAUUGGUCAGGCUUAAUUGUCUGUACUGGUGAGAUGAAUCUCUACCUUCUGAGGAACUUUCAUGCCAUUUAUUUGGUGUGAUGGGAAGUCAGGACUGUUACUUUGAAAAAAUUAGAGUGUUUAAAGCAGGCUAACGUCUGAAUACAUUAGCAUGGAAUAAUGAAAUAGGACGGACUGAUUCUAUUUCGUUGGUUUCUAGGAUCACCGUAAUGAUUAAUAGGGAUAGUUGGGGGCAUUAGUAUUCAAUUGUCAGAGGUGAAAUUCUUGGAUUUAUUGAAGACUAACUACUGCGAAAGCAUUUGCCAAGGAUGUUUUCAUUAAUCAAGAACGAAAGUUAGGGGAUCGAAGACGAUCAGAUACCGUCGUAGUCUUAACCAUAAACUAUGCCGACUAGGGAUCGGAUGAUGUUAAUUUUUUAAUGACUCAUUCGGCGCCUUACG